AGUGGGCUCCCGGGACGCAGGCCGCACGCUUAGCGACUUCCUGCCGAGGGGCUCCCAGCGAGAGGCGUGCCGGGCGCGUGAGCGCUCCAGGCCCAGAUCAACUACAAAAACCAGCCCAGGCUGAAGCUGGGACCAGCUGCAUUGAAUAAUGACCCCCCUAUCCUGGUGCCCGCCAAUCCAUCAGUAGAGUCCACAACCCUGAGAGGACACACCUGGAAAGCUGCUGAAUCUUCUAUGGAGAUCUUCUCCUGGGACCGCCCCUGAAAUCUCCACCCUUAAAACCCUGGGGACAGGCCCCAGCCGGCUCUCCCUCCAGGGAGCCGCAGUGCCUUUUCCCUUCCCUUCCCCACCCAGGCUGGUUACCUUCAGCUUCCUCCCGCCCAGCCUCCAAGGGCCCUUCCUUUACUUCCAUAACUUGUUUCCUAAGCCCGUUUCUUCCAGGAGUUACUUCUCCUCCCUCUGUGAUUCACCAAAUACACGUUCUUACCGUUA